CAGUCUCGAUUUGCUGUGGGCAAAUGAAAUGGAUGUGGCUAUCGAUGGCGCCGGCGGUCACGAUGUGACCCUCUCCAGCAAUGGCUUCAGUGCCUGGGCCGAUCACAAUGUCAAUCCCGUCAGUGAUGUCGGGAUUGCCAGCCUUGCCGAUGGCAACGAUCCGUCCGUCUCUUAGGCCGAUAUCUGCUUUGACGAUCCCCCACCAGUCGAGGAUCAGGGCAUUGGUGAUCACGGUGUCAACAGCACCAUUGGCGCGGGAUUGCUGGGAUUGCCCCAUGCCGUCGCGG
rnacentral:sRNA from 1 species